rnacentral:rRNA from 1 species
GAUGAACGCUGGCGGCGUGCUUAACACAUGCGAGUCGAACGGAGAAGCCCAGCUUUCUUGGGGUGCUCGAGUCGCACGCGUGAGUAUCACACGAGAAUCAUCCGCCUAUCACUUUGGGAAAACUUGAAGACAGUGGCGCUAACACCGGAUAAGCGCGCCCGCCGCGUGGGGGGUUUUGGAGAGUUUCCGCGGUUGGGGAUGGACUCGCGGCUUAUCAGCUUGUUGGUGGGGUAGUGGCUCACCAAGGCUUCGACGGGUAGCCGGCCUGAGAGGGUGACCGGCCACAUUGGGACUGAGACACGGCCCAGACUCCUACGGGAGGCAGCAGUGGGGAAUAUUGCACAAUGGGCGGAAGCCUGAUGCAGCGACGCCGCGUGAGGGAUGACGGCCUUCGGGUUGUAAACCGCUUUCAGUAGGGACGAAGCGAAAGUGACGGUAACGGCAGAAGAAGCACCGGCUAACUACGUG